rnacentral:rRNA from 1 species
GAUGAACGCUGGCGGCGUGCCUAAUACAUGCAAGUAGAACGCUGAAGGAAGGAGCUUGCUCUUUCCGGAUGAGUUGCGAACGGGUGAGUAACGCGUAGGUAACCUGCCUGGUAGCGGGGGAUAACUAUUGGAAACGAUAGCUAAUACCGCAUAACAGUAGAUGUUGCAUGAUUUCUUCUUAAAAGGUGCAAUUGCUCCACUACCAGAUGGACCUGCGUUGUCUUAGCUAGUUGGUGAGGUAACGGCUCACCAAGGCGACGAUACAUAGCCGACCUGAGAGGGUGAUCGGCCAAACUGGGACUGAGACAAGGCACAGAAUCCUACGGGAGGCAGCAGGAGGGAAACUUCGGCAAAGGACGGAAGGCUGAACGAGCAACGCUGGGUGAGUGGAGAAGGUUGUCGGAACGUAAAGCACUGUUGUAAGAGAAGAACGAGUGUGAGAGUGGAAAGUUCACACUGUGACGGUAUCUAACCAGAAAGGGACGGCUAACUACGUG